rnacentral:rRNA from 1 species
UACGUAGGGUGCGAGCGUUUGUCCGGAUUUAUUGGGCGUAAAGAGCUCGUGAGGUGGUUCGGUAAGUCGGAUGUGAAAUCUCCAGGCUCAACCUGGAGGGGUCAUUCGAUACUGCCGUGACUAGAGGUCGGUAGGGGAGUGUGGAAUUCCUGGUGGAGCGGUGAAAUGCGCAGAUAUCAGGAGGAACACCCGUAGCGAAGGCGGCACUCUGGGCCGAUACUGACACUGAGGAGCGAAAGCGUGGGGAGCGAACAGG